UAUUGAAGGUUCUGAUGUUGG
rnacentral:siRNA from 1 species